rnacentral:misc_RNA from 1 species
GGCAGUUCUCCUAAAUGCUUCAAAGUUCAAGCUACAUGGAUUCACAGCCAACGGAGAUCCUCACAGUAGAGGAACUCCAGCAGCUCAACGACGGCCGUGAUACCAGACGGCAUGAGAGGGCACAGUGGGUGCUGAAUUCUCCUGAUCCACCAGGUGUAUUCCACGAUCUCAUUGGUUCUGUAAGGGAAGUUGUCCUACCCCAUGGACACACAACUGCGAAGCAAACUACAAGCGGAC